CCAUGGUUUCAAGAAAAAAGAAAAAAAUCCUCGAAAUGAUCUAUUACCAUCUUUGACUCUCUCUCUCUCUCUCUCUCUCUCUCACUAGGGCUAAAGAUUUUCGUCUUUAUAAGGGGUACAUACGUGGAUGAUGGAUCUUGACUUGGUUGGAAAAGGAUUUUUUUUUUUUGGUAACAUGUUAACAUGUAACUUUUUUAUAUGCUUUGUACUUUGUAUUUCCACUUUACUUUAAUUAUGUUGCACUGUUAAUUCGCAUGUGUAGUUAUGCUUCUCUGAAACAAAAUUAUAAAGAAAUUACUUCUCUGUAUACAUAGUCCACGACUAUGUAUAUCUUUUAGUAAUUUCUUUAUAAUUUUGUUUCCUGCCUAAAUAAAGCGUCUAGUUUGAUGCAAGUGUCUACAAGUAA